rnacentral:tRNA from 3 species
GUGGUUGUAGUUCAGUGGUAGAGCACCUGAUUGUGGUUCAGGGUGUCGCGGGUUCGAAUCCCGUCUUCCACCCA